CUUAAUGCAGUUGCUACAAGCCACUUUCAACCACUUUUUGCUCGGUCAUACGGAAUAAUUAUUACACCGCUUGAAGCAGUGCAUCUUUAAUAUUUCAGCUUAAAAAACGAAAAAAAUACCCAUCAGCUCAACACUCAAACCCUUCCAAAAAAAAAACGCCUCGCUCCUCGCGGGUGUCGAAGCAGUGAGUGCAUCACUCAUCAUUCCUAUCUCCAGCCACAAUUGCAAAUGCAACCAUCGUGCAUUCGUUUUACAUAAAUUUUCACCCAGUGGGCUGACGAAACCACGAACGCGCAAGGUAACAAACAAAGCACACCAAAAAAACAGCGGGAAGAUGGCUUCAAGAUAAGCUCCCGUGGGUCAAGAAAGCAAGGGAGAAAGUACCUAACGAAAAAAAAAACAAACCAAACGGGCAGCACACUGGAAGAGGAGUGAAAAAAUAGCGCAAUUUUCUAAUACUUCUUCUGCGUUUGCUGCUGCCGCUGCUUGGGAACCGCAACAAGCAGCACGAAAGGGGUCAGCGGACUUCACCUUUUUGUGGCCCUCCGCUUUGGCCUGUCCUCCGCUCGUUUGCCAGUGACAAAAAAAGGCUCGUGUGCACGAUGCAUCUUUGUUGCGCUCCCACUGGCGCCUUGCCACCUUGAGGACAGAAACCAAAACAAAAGGGCAGAGCGUACGAGAGUGGGAUGGUUGCUAACCUUUUGCUUUUUCUCCUUUGGUGCAGUUUGUUUGGAACAAAACAAACGAUAAAGUGAGAAGAAGAAAAAAAAACCCCGAAAAGAGUUGAACAGCGGGAAGCGUUGAAUGAAGAAGCAACACCAAAAAAAAAGACACAAACGCUCCUCAGUCAAAGCUGUGCGCGGAUUCAACACGCUCUCGGCGGGGCGGGGGAGGGCGUAGAAGAUGUGGUGCGGAUGCGUGAAAGAAAAACCGCCAAAUUAUGCGUCCGGCGACAAAGCAGACGUACGGGGCGCGGUGCAUGCGUACGUUCGUGCGUGUAGCUGCUGCUGCACCAUAGCAACGGUGCAUGGAGCAUAACGAAACGCAUCAACCUUUCUCGGGGCGUGUGUGUGAAAAAAAAGCUCCGAAUCUUCACCCAAAGGUACUGCAGGUGGGAAAACGGCAUUUCGCUGAAGGAGGGGAGAAGGCUCACGUUACAUGCAAUGUAUUAGAGGUUCGUUUGAAUACGGUUUCAGCUCGAUUAUGCUGAUGCCGUAAUAAGAUGCAUUAAAUAUUAGCUCUAUUUCGUGAAAAAACACACGCAUACUCACUCACCCUAAAAUGAACAGAUGAUCUUGUAUAAUUACCCACAAAAGGUGAAAUGUACGUGUGGCCAGUUGGGAAAUUUACCUGUAAGAAGAG